UACGGAGGGUGCGAGCGUUGUCCGGAAUCAUUGGGCGUAAAGGGCGCGUAGGUGGCCCCUCAAGCGUGCGGUGAAAGUCAGGGGCUCAACCCCUGAUCGGCCGUGCGAACUGGGGAGCUUGAGCACUGUAGAGGCAGGCGGAAUUCCGGGUGUAGCGGUGGAAUGCGUAGAGAUCCGGAAGAACACCGGUGGCGAAGGCGGCCUGCUGGGCAGUUUG
rnacentral:rRNA from 1 species